UGAUGGUGAUGAUUGUACCGAGGGGUU
rnacentral:piRNA from 1 species